rnacentral:rRNA from 1 species
UGGGGAAUUUUGGACAAUGGGCGAAAGCCUGAUCCAGCAAUGCCGCGUGUGUGAAGAAGGCCUUCGGGUUGUAAAGCACUUUUGUCCGGAAAGAAAUGGCUCUGGUUAAUACCUGGGGUCGAUGACGGUACCGGAAGAAUAAGGACCGGCUAACUACGUGCCAGCAGCCGCGGUAAUACGUAGGGUCCAAGCGUUAAUCGGAAUUACUGGGCGUAAAGCGUGCGCAGGCGGUUGUGCAAGACCGAUGUGAAAUCCCCGAGCUUAACUUGGGAAUUGCAUUGGUGACUGCACGGCUAGAGUGUGUCAGAGGGGGGUAGAAUUCCACGUGUAGCAGUGAAAUGCGUAGAGAUGUGGAGGAAUACCGAUGGCGAAGGCAGCCCCCUGGGAUAACACUGACGCUCAUGCACGAAAGCGUGGGGAGCAAACAGGAUUAGAUACCCUGGUAGUCCACGCCCUAAACGAUGUCAACUAGUUGUUGGGGAUUCAUUUCCUUAGUAACGUAGCUAACGCGUGAAGUUGACCGCCUGGGGAGUACGGUCGCAAGAUUAAAAGCUCAAAGGAAUUGAC